AUGACUCUGUCCUUGAUCCUGAUGUGUUUCUUGUUCUUGACACCAGGCGUACAAUCUGAAGAAGUCCUUACUCAGACAGAAUCACAAAUAUAUAAAAAGCCAAAUGAGUCUUUCAAACUGACGUGUCGAGGGUCUGGAUUUGAUUUCAGCCGGCGUGCAAUGCACUGGAUUCGCCAAGACUCAGGAAAAAGGCUUGAGUGGUUGGGUGUGAUCUGGUCUGACGCCAGUAAAACAGUAUAUGCCUCAUCUGUGGAAGGACGGGUGACAAUAACAAGGGACAAUAAGAACGGUGUAACCUUCCUGGAACUGAAGAGUCUGGUUACUGCAGAUUCUGCCACCUAUUUCUGUGCAAGAGCCACAGUGACAAACACUGUGCAAGAGUCAGACAAUAUCUUAUGA